rnacentral:tRNA from 1 species
UCGGCGUCCGGCCGGCCGGCCGGUGCGGUGAUGCGGACGCGGUCCGCGCGGUGGUGCUCGACGCCGAGCACGGCCAGUUCCCAGCCGUCGAUGUCGAGC